UGUGCAUAGGUGAGCUGAGUGUAGGAGAGGUAGUUGGGAAGCUCUAGCCAGUUGAGUUUAUGGAGAGGUUCACAGUGAUGGGUGGAUGAUUUGUUACUGGUGGCGAAUCUAUUGUAACAAGAUGAGAGCUUGGUUUUCAGGGAAGAUUGUAGGUUUAUAAGAAGAGGAGCACCAUAGAGAAGGGAGGGAAGGAGAAAUGUGGUAGAGAGAGUAAUUUUGGUAGUUGAGGUGAGGA